rnacentral:rRNA from 1 species
ACAGCAGCAGCCGCGGUAAUACGUAGGUGGCAAGCGUUGUCCGGAAUUAUUGGGCGUAAAGGGCUCGCAGGCGGUUCCUUAAGUCUGAUGUGAAAGCCCCCGGCUCAACCGGGGAGGGUCAUUGGGAACUGGGAAACUUGAGUGCAGAAGAGGAGAGUGGAAUUCCACGUGUAGCGGUGAAAUGCGUAGAGAUGUGGAGGAACACCAGUGGCGAAGGCGACUCUCUGGUCUGUAACUGACGCUGAGGAGCGAAAGCGUGGGGAGCGAACAGGAUUAGAUACCCGGGUAGUCCCUGUCUCUUAUAC